rnacentral:lncRNA from 1 species
CUAGCAACUGCCCUGCAGAGCAGCUGACCUUCCGCAGUUUGGAAAACAAAAUGUAUGCUGGCUGCAUUUAAAGGAAGUUUUGGGCUCUUCUCCUGUGACACCAAUCAUAUCUCUCUGCUAUAAUGCAUUCAUCAUUGCCUCCUGUUUGUAAAAUGCAGGAUUUUUGUGAAUAUGCUGAAGAAUCAACAGGCAA